CCUACGGGUGGCAGCAGUGGGGAAUAUUGCACAAUGGGGGAAACCCUGAUGCAGCGACGCCGCGUGAGCGAUGAAGUAUUUCGGUAUGUAAAGCUCUAUCAGCAGGGAAGAAAAUGACGGUACCUGACUAAGAAGCCCCGGCUAACUACGUGCCAGCAGCCGCGGUAAUACGUAGGGGGCAAGCGUUAUCCGGAUUUACUGGGUGUAAAGGGAGCGUAGACGGCAUGGCAAGCCAGAUGUGAAAUACCGGGGCUCAACCCCGGGACUGCAUUUGGAACUGUUAAGCUGGAGUGUCGGAGAGGAAGGCGGAAUUCCUAGUGUAGCGGUGAAAUGCGUAGAUAUUAGGAGGAACACCAGUGGCGAAGGCGGCCUGCUGGACGAUGACUGACGUUGAGGCUCGAAAGCGUGGGGAGCAAACAGGAUUAGAUACCCGGGUAGUC
rnacentral:rRNA from 1 species